rnacentral:misc_RNA from 1 species
AAAAUGCGAUAAGUAAUGUGAAUUGCAGAAUUCAGUGAAUCAUCGAAUCUUUGAACGCACAUUGCGCCCGCCAGUAUUCUGGCGGGCAUGCCUGUCUGAGCGUCAUUUCAACCCUCGGCACCCCGUUCGCGGGACCCGGCGUUGGGGAUCAGCCCGAAGCCCCCCGGGGCGGGCGGCUGGCCCCGAAAUCUAGUGGCGGUCCCCCCAGCGACCUCCUCUGCGCAGUAGUAACUCACCUCGCAGCUGGACAGCGGGAGGGCCACGCCGUAAAACCCCCAACUUCUCAAAGGUUGACCUCAGAUCAGGUAGGAAUACCCGCUGAACUUAAGC